rnacentral:rRNA from 1 species
GAGGAAUAUUGGUCAAUAGCCUAACGGCUGAACCAGCAAUUUGGAAGAAUGUUUAGCACCUUUAAACAGUAAGUGCGAAAUUGAUUAAAUCAAAUAAAAUUCUAGGUAGACUUAUGAUAAUGACAAAGCCUACCUAAGUCUUGACCAAAUUACGUGCCAGCAGUCGCGGUAAUACGUAAAAGACUAGUGUUAUUCAUCUUUAAUUGGUUUAAAGGGUACCUAGACAGUAAAUAAAGCCUUAGUGGGAACUAAUUUGCUAGAGUUACUUAUAAGGGGGUAUUAAAGUACUGCAGGUGUAGAGAUGAAAUUUUAUUAUACCUCUUUUCACAAGAAAAACUAUGGCACAGGUAUAGGUGAAAACAUCCCCUUAUGUGAUAACUGACGUUGAAGGACGAAGGCUUUGUAUCGCGAACAGGAUUAGAUACCCCAGUAGUCAAAGCAGAAAAUGAUGAAUGUCAUAGAUUAGAAAAAUAAUUUAUUCUAUAAACGAAAGUGUAAGCAUUCCACCUCAAGAGUAAUUUGGCAACAUUGGAACUGAAAUCAUUAGACCGUUUCUGAAACCAGUAGUGAAGUAUGUCGUUUAAUUUGAUACCACGCAAAAAACCUUACCACAAUUUGAAUAUAUAUACAUAUCUUUUAUUGAUUUAAGAUAGUAUAUUUA